AAAGCUGGUCCAUUCAAGUGUACAAAUAAAAGCUGUAGGCAAGGCUGUUGAUAAGAUGAUACUGCGCAUAGAUAGAAGUGGAUAAGCAAGAAUAUUCAGGAACCUUCUCAAACACUUAUCACUUCAAUAAAGUUGAUGAAAAAUGCAAAUAUUCAGAAGUUAAGUUAAUCUAGAAGUCCAACUGUGAUAAGGGUUCUGCAAGGAAAAAGGAUAAAGCAAAAAGAGUCCUAUUUAACCAGGGAAGGAGAAACGACUACAACAAGGAGUGAAGUUACUUGAUAGACUAAAGAAGAAAUAAGCAGAAAUCAAGAAGGACUCUACUACAGGAGAAAUUAUCAGGGUGCAUAUAUACAACAAAGCACAAUCAAGUAAUGGACUGAAUGCACAGAAAAGAAAAUCAACAAUCAGCAUAAAAGUUCACAUACUUGAAGAAGAACUUGUUUCCUUACUUAGCAAGUUGUAGACUGUGUAGUAGGUAGGUUCCUUGAGUUGUAAUGAGUCAUUUUUCUAGUCUCAGUGAUCUAUAAAAUGAGUUAGGAAUUGUGUUUUCAAGUUGGAAACUCGAAGACUUGAGAACACUUAUCUUGGGAAGAUUUGUGUUUUUGUAAAGAUAGGAAUUAGAAGUUUUAAUCCCUAGUUAACAAGAAGUCUUGUAUUUUUGUUGAUUAUUGAGGCUCAAGUAUCAUAGUGAAGUUGGGGUUAAAUCCUGUAGAGGUACAGUUCGUGGUUUUUUACACCUUUC
rnacentral:lncRNA from 1 species